rnacentral:rRNA from 1 species
AUUGAACGCUGGCGGCAUGCCUUACACAUGCAAGUCGAACGGUAACAGGUCUUCGGAUGCUGACGAGUGGCGAACGGGUGAGUAAUACAUCGGAACGUGCCCGAUCGUGGGGGAUAACGAAGCGAAAGCUUUGCUAAUACCGCAUACGAUCUAAGGAUGAAAGCAGGGGACUGCAAGGCCUUGCGCGUACGGAGCGGCAGAUGGCAGAUUAGGUAGUUGGUGGGAUAAAAGCUUACCAAGCCGACGAUCUGUAGCUGGUCUGAGAGGACGACCGGCGACAGUGGGUCUGGGACACGGACCGGUCUCCUACGGGGGGUAGCAGUGGGGAAUUAUGGCCAAUGGGCGAAAGCCUGAUCCAGCCAUGCCGCGUGCAGGAUGAAGGCCUUCGGCUUGUAAACUGCUUUUGUACGGAACGAAAAGUCUCUGGUUAAUACCUGGGGUCCAUGACGGUACCGUAAGAAUAAGCACCGGCUAACUACGUGCCAGCAGCCCGCCGUAA